rnacentral:tRNA from 1 species
UACAUUUUAGUAUAAGAGGUACAGGAAUUUUUGAUAUUUCUAGAAGUAGUUUAAUUCUGCUGAAUGUAA